rnacentral:lncRNA from 1 species
CCUUCACACUCUUUACCUCAAUCGCUCCAUUUAUGUAAAAGAUGACAUAUAUGAAAGGUUACAUGCCAUGAUGCUUGCUUGCUUAGGUAUUUAGUUUUUUGGUUGAAAGGCCUUUCUUAAACCAAGCAAGCAAGCAAGAAAAAUUUUCAACCACCAUGAUGCUUACUUUUCUUAGUUUUUUGGUUGAAAAGUUUAUUUAUUAUGUUUUUAUUAUUGUUGAAAAAUUUGAUUUGUUAUGAUUUAUGUAUCCAACUCUUAUUUUAUUCAAUUUCUGUAAAGAACUAAUAU